GCAAACCAAAUCUCAUCUUCCUAAAGACAGGCUGAGAGACUGAGAGCCAGAAGCGUACUAAGUUCUCUUUCCCUGGCAAGGGAGAUGAAGAGUACCUAAAAAACAUAAACAAUGAACUUUGAACAUCUCACUGCUGUCCAAUGUCCUGCAUAAUCUGUUUUUGAAACCUUGCUUUACCAAUCGAGGCUUUCAAGAUUUGCAGAGAGGAACAGCUGCAAUGUGCACAGAAAGCAAAGGCUUUUUGAUAACAACAAAUUAUGUCCUACCUGAAAAUAGAGGGCCACGCAGGAAAGCAUCAUAAACUGCCACUGUUGAAAUAAAUGGAAUAACGGCCAUCGGCAAAGCAGAUAUUAUGGCAGCCUUUCUGAUAUUUAGGAUCUUCCUGAAGAAAUUAUUUGCUGUUAAGCCACAUAAGCUUGCAUUUCCUGCAAGGAA